rnacentral:rRNA from 1 species
UGAGGAAUAUUGGUCAAUGGGUGGGAGCCUGAACCAGCCAAGUCGCGUGAGGGAAGACGGUCCUAUGGAUUGUAAACCUCUUUUGUCGGGGAGCAAAGAGGCCACGUGUGGUCAAAAGCGAGAGUACCCGAAGAAAAAGCAUCGGCUAACUCCGUGCC